rnacentral:rRNA from 1 species
CAAUGCCGCGUGAAUGAUGAAGGUCUUUGGAUCGUAAAGUUCUGUUGUCGCUAUGGAAAACCUUAGAGGAGGAAAUGCCUUUAGCUUGACCUGGCUUCCAGAAAGCCACGGCUAACUACGUGCCAGCAGCCGCGGUAAUACGUAGGUGGCAAGCGUUAUCCGGAAUUAUUGGGCGUAAAGAGUGAGCAGGCGGCAGUUUAAGUCUGAAGUCAAAUGCAGUGGCUCAACCACUGUCCGCUUUGGAAACUGAACAGCUAGAGUACGAGAGAGGUAUGUGGAAUUCCAUGUGUAGCGGUGAAAUGCGUAGAUAUAUGGAGGAACACCAGAGGCGAAGGCGGCAUACUGGAUCGAUACUGACGCUCAGUCACGAAAGCGUGGGUAGCAAAUAGGAUUAGAUACCCUAGUAGUCCACGCCGUAAACGAUGAAAAUUAGGUGUUAGGGUCAAACCUAGCGCCGAAGCUAACGCAUUAAGUUCUCCGCCUGGGGAGUACGUUCGCAAGAAUAAAACUUAAAGGAAUUGACGGGGGCCCGCACAAGCAGUGGAGCAUGUGGAUUAAUUCGAUGAUACGCGAAGAACCUUACCAGGGCUUGACAUAGCUACUAAGACCCUAGAGAUAGGGGGAUAAUAGGAGCAUACAGGUGGUGCAUGGUUGUCGUCAGCUCGUGUCGUGAGAUGUUAGGUUAAGUCCUCCAACGAGCGCAACCCUUGUCCUUAGUUACCAUCAUUAAGUUGGGGACUCUAAGGAGACCGCCGGUGUAAAUCGGAGGAAGGUGGGGAUGACGUUAAAUCAUCAUGCCCCUUACGUCCUGGGCGUCACACGUGCUACAAUGGUCGGUACAAUGGGCAGCUACCGGGCGACCGGAUGCCAAUCUCUAAAACCACUCUCAGUUCGGAUCGGAGUCUGCAACUCGACUCCGUGAAGCUGGAUUCGCUAGUAAUCGCGCAUCAGCCACGGCGCGGUGAAUACGUUCCCGGGCCUUGUACAAAAGGCCCGUCAA